UUUUUUAUAAGCAAAUAAAAUGGAAUGUUAAUUAAAAUAACUUGUUUGGUUCAUCAAAAAACUUUGAUACACAAAUAGCAGUUCUACAUUUAAAAGAAACACUAAAACAACAAAAUAGCUUCAAUAAUUUCCAUGAACACGUUUUUGCUAAGAUGAAAAUAAUGGUUUCUGAAUUCUUGAAGCUUAUGAAACAAAAUAAAAAAACAAUAAAUAUUACUAAAAUAAGAUGUUCCUUUCAGUUAUACAAUUAUACUUUAUACUGCCAUUUUGAUAUGUAAAUUUGUAACAGUAACAAAAUUUAAUUUACAACUGUCAAUACAAUUUUCUAAUAUUUAUAAAUAUACCAUAUAAAUAAUACCUAAGCUUCUUGAAAUUCUUUUUUUAUAUCAUUCAUUGAAAGCAGCAAGAUUCUCUCUUUUACUUAUAUUUUCAAUAAGUAAUCACGCUGACAAUUGAUUCAUUGGUGUUAAAUGCAACUUUCUGCCAAAUUGGCUAUUCUUGACAGACAGUUGUUUUAACUUUCUACAUGUAAUUACACUGAAAACAGAACCUGUACCAUUAAGACAUAUUUCAUUUUUUCUUCUUCAUUUUUUGUAAGUUACGAGAAAAGUUAGAGAGAGCCAAAGAAAUAUGUUAUCAAUCUUGCCAAAUAUGAUUGCAUGUUGUUUCAUUAACUUACAUUGGCAAACAUUACAUAAACUAUCAUAAACAAACUUUUUAAACAAAAUGCAAAGACAACAAUACUAAGGUUUUUCUGCAAAUCUACAACGAAAAACCAAAACAGACAUGAAAUCAUUUAUACAAUUACUUAUGCCUCAUUUAUUAUCUCCCCUUCCCACACAGCUCAUCUGUAUGCAACUAUCUUUAUUAUAGAAACUUGUUACGAAAUGUGUGUUCCAGUAAUGAAGACAAUAAUAGCUUAAAUCAUCCAACACAAAAACCAAUUAUUAAUACCUUCAAAAUCUUACUUUAUUACAAAUAUUGGGAACAAGUACAAAAUAUAUUAAUCUGUGUUUUUCAGACUUUUCCAUCAGACUUUUCCAAUCUCUAAACAAUCACAACCCACAAUUUUUCUUUUAAAAUACAUACAAGGAAAAAAAGAAUAUUUAGACAAGCAAGAGUUUUUAUAAAAACUUUCAACUUAAUGAUUCAUUUACCUUCUGAAAAAAAUUAAUUUAUAUGGAUGCACAACAUAAAACAGAUAAAUUAAACCCAGUGAAAAGGGGGGAUAACAAUCUUGGUAUGAAAACUAUCACUUUUCCAUCACAAAUUAACUUUCACACUUUCAAACCAGACAUACCAUCGUACAUUCACUCAAACUGUCAAAGAAUCAGAUCUUUAUAAAAAAAUAUUACUAGACUAUAUUCUACAGCCUAAUAAAAUGCAUGACAUAACAUAUAAAUUCCCAUGUAUUUCUGCCAGUCGACUAUGCAUUUGCAUUUACAUAUAAAUGCAUAAUUAUUGUACAUGUAGCAUUCUAUGAUUUUUUUUAUUAUAUUAAGAUGAUUUGAAACUAUCUUUUUAAACGGCUAAUAUUCUCGGCACAUAUCAAAUUUAACAAUGAUGAAAGAAGUGACAGUAGAAUAGAUUACAAAACAUAUUUUUAACAAUACAAUGCUUACAUGAAC
rnacentral:lncRNA from 1 species